GCCGGGCAUGGUGGUGCAUGCCUGUAAUCCUAGCUACCUGGGAGGCUGAGGCAGGAGAAUCACUUGAACCCGGGAGACGGAGGUUGCAGUAAGCUGAGAUGACGCCACUGUACUUCAGCCUGGGCGACAGAGUGAGACUCUGUCUCAA
rfam:Homo sapiens chromosome 16, GRCh38 reference primary assembly.